UGGAGUUAGCUGCAGCCUUUGAUCUCAUGGGUGUUCACCAUCCCCUGCCAUGUGCCCCUCCCUGGUCCCUUGGCUCCUGUAGGCUUGAUUCUACCUGAGUUUCUGCGGCACAGAAGUAGUGAGAGCUGAGCCAGGCCUGUCUCCCGUCAAGACUGGACUCCCGUCGUCCACCUCUCAGCGGCGAGGGUGGCCUUUUCAGCCUCCCCUGUGGUUGACCUGUUAACCCCAUCUUCUUCCCAGAGGCAUGGCCUCAGGAAGAUACUUACACAGGACCCAACUUAUAUGACCUGCUUCAUAAAACAUCAAGAAGAAGUGGGUGUUGUAUACCUCAGGAUCUGGGAUUCUUGUCUGUCUCUUGUUACUUAGGACAGAUGAGAACAGAGUUAACAGGAAGUUAAGAAGCCUGGUUAUGAACUGGAUUCUUGUCCUGAUAGACCAGAUUCAAACCACGCUGAAACACCAUGAGGAACAAAGGAUUGGUUAUUUGGAUCUAGGAGGCUAAUUUACUUUUUUUCCCCCAUGAUAUCUACCAGUAAGCACAAAGGCUUCCCUGACCACAAUCCCCACUCUAGGAUAGGCCCUGCUAGGCAUGCAUCUAAGUUAUAAAACUCAUUAUGAUGAUAUCUUAUCAUUAAUUUCCAUUUGGAAUAAAUUGUUUCCUCAGAAUUUGUGGAAUUUAGGUUGUAUCUUGCAAAAAUGUUUGGGAAAUGUUGACCAAUUCUAGAUAAAUCCACAAAAAAAUUUAGCCCAUAACAAGUUGUACUAAUAAACUUUUCAAUUAAAAAUAAAUUAUGUAGUAUUUAGAAAACACCAUGUUUGUGUGGAUUUCUUUAUUAAGAAAAAAAAUGGAUGGCAAAUUUGCCUGAUGUCUUUAAAGUCUUUGAAGAUGACUAUAAUGAAACUGAAAUGGUGAUCUAGAUAAAACUGGAUAUUUUACUAGGUCCUUUUAAUGCUAUAUAUUUCAAAUACUUGGAACUUAUUCUUGGAUACUUAAUAGGUUUACUUUGAUAAUGUUUCCUACAUAAGUCAUUCCCACAUUAGCAGUUGUUGACUUAGAACACUGAAAUUUAAAAUGUUAGGUUUUAAAUGCUUCCAGUUGUACAACUUUUAGGGGGUAAAUAUAAAAAAUUAAAUGGUUUAUUAUUAAGAAAUAAGACAAAAGGAAUAAACAGUUUUUAAAUCUUAUCUAAGCUUUUUAAACUAAAAGGAUCCUGUAUGAGCAUGGGCUUUUUGCAUGCUGUCAGUUAUAAGGCCAAUGGUUAUAGUUAUAGAUAUGUACACUUAAAAUAAUAAUGGUGUAUCUUCACCUACAAGGUGUAGAUACUACACAAAAUGUUUUCAUAAAUGUUAACUAAAACCAUUUUAGUUUAAAAGGUGACUUAAAGUGAAUAUAAGGACUUGCUUCAAAGCUGUGUGACCUUGGACAAGUCUGAGAAGAGGUGAUGGGGGGUAGCUAUCUCCCAAACUCCUUAACAUAAGUACAGUGUCUCACUGUAGAUUUACCAUGCCUUUUGCUGUACCAUACUGGGUUUUUUAAGAGAUCUGAAAGGUUUGAGUAUAGGGCAAACACUGCUGGCAGCAGUGUUAACUUAAAAUCUAGUACAGAAGUAAAUGAAUUAAGAACAACCUGGUUCAAGGCCUUAGAAUGAAUAAACUGGAACCCCAGCAAAGAUGUGGAUGUGCUAGCCUUAAUGCUUUGGGAGUAAAUUUAGAGAAAAUGAGCCAGUAUCUCCAGCUUUAGACCCCCAUGAGGUAGCUGAGGACAGCUAUUUGUAUAAAGACUUGGUGGGAAUCUAGUAACUUCUGAGGUGAGCCUAGGAUAGAGUCUCAUUCUUGAGCCACUAAAGAGUGAGGUGUGGCAAACAGAUUGCCAUGAUAGCUUAGAAGAAUUUAUCCCCAGUAGAUUGGGGAGAAAAAAAGUAUCCUGUAAAAGAAUGGGAAGUUCUUUAAGGAGACAGUGAGAUGAAGACAGAGGCCCUAACCUCCAUUCAAAAAUUGGGAGAGUUGGGCAAAUGGGUAAAAAAAAGGACCUGAAUUAAGUAUAAAGCACUUCCCACAUAGUGGGGAACCAAAUCCUUAGUAGAAAGCAGUUUCUUAUGGCCCAAAGAAUAAUGUGGAUCCUAAGAUCCCACCAGAAAAGAAGUCACUCAUUUGAGGUCAGCAAUGAGACUAGCAGUCACUUCCUGCAGAGGGGUACCAACAGAGCAAUAGAGAACUUUGGUAUCUUCCUGGGUAAUGUUAUCAAGAAUGUGAUGGGAAGUAUCAGAUGCGAUGACCAAGGUCACACAGCUUUGAAGCAAGUCCCCACUCUUGAUUCAUAGAGAUAGAGAGAAAUUAGACCAUUAAAAGGAACCUAGGAAGCAUUGCAAAGAAUUUAUAAAGUCUGGCAAAAAAACUGGAAACUAAGGAGAUGUGCAUUUUCAUCACUUACUGAUUAAAGUAGAAGCUUCAAAAGAAAAUUCAAAUUUAGGAAGUGAAUUAUUGGAUUAAGAAACUACUAUCUGGGAACAAGAUUUCAAUUUCUGAAUAAAGCUUAAAAGAUGUAUGAAUAAUGGCUUCUUUGUUCAUAGAGGACUGUAUAUCCCUAAUGAUAGCUAGUAGAAUUACUUCAAUUCCUAGCAAUGCUAGAGCUUAAGAAUUACAUUGUGAGCACUUAGAAAGGAAAAUAGUGACCAAAAUUUCAUCAAGGAUGCCUAAUGAUAAGUUGAAGCAAGUCCAAAAGAAGAUGGUUUGUAUGAGAAGGAAAUUGGAGACCAUGUUAUAAAAGUGAGUGGAAAGAAUAUAGGAUUUUUAUCCAGAAGAGAAAAUUUAGGAGGAACAGUAUGAGUAAGUAAAGGGCUAUCACGUGGUAGGAAAAUUAUACCUCUUCUAUUUGGGCCCAGAAAGUAGAAUCAGCUACUACAGAUGGAAGCUGCACAAAGGUAGAUUUCAGCCCAACUUCCUAACUAUUAGAGCUGUCCCAA